rnacentral:rRNA from 1 species
UGUGGAGCGUACACAGGUGCUGCAUGGCUGUCGUCAGCUCGUGUCGUGAGAUGUUGGUUAAGUCCCGCAACGAGCGCAACCCUGCAUUCAGUUGCCAUCGGUGAGGCCGGGCACUCUGGAUGGACUGCCGGCGACAAGCCGGAGGAAGGUGGGGACGACGUCGAGUCAUCAUGGCCCUUAUGUCCAGGGCGACACACGUGCUACAAUGGCCGGCACAGCGGGAAGCGAAGGGGCGACUCUGAGCGGAUCCCUUAAAGCCGGUCCCAGUUCGGAUUGCAGUCUGCAACUCGACUGCAUGAAGUUGGAAUCGCUAGUAAUCGUGGAUCAGCCAAGCCGCGGUGAAUACGUUCCCGGGCCUU